rnacentral:rRNA from 1 species
GAUGAACGCUGGCGGCGUGCUUAACACAUGCAAGUCGAACGGAAAGGCCCUGCUUUUGUGCGGUUCUCGAUAGGCGAACGCGUGUGUAACACGUGAGUAUCCUGCACUUGACUUUGGGAUAACUUCACGAAAAUCGGGCUAUUACCGGAUAGAAUCUCCUGCACCAUGGUGGGGGUUGGUGAAUUUCGGCUGUUGGGGAUGGUCUGGCGGCUUAUCCGCUUGUUAGUGGGGUAGUGGCUUACCAAGCCUUUGACGGAUAGCCUGCCUGAGAGGGUUGCCGGCCACAAUGCGACUGAGAUACGGACCAGUCGCCUACGGGAGGCAGCGGUGGGAAAUAUGGCACAAUGGGCGGGCGCCUGAUGCAGCAGCGCCGCGUGCGGAAUGACGGCCUUCGGGGUAAGAACAGCUUUCGCCUGUGACGAAGCGGGAGUGACGGUAAUGAGUAAAGAAGCACCGGCUAACUACGUG